AUGCAGAUGCAUGUGUGCACACAGACAUAUGCACAGACACACACCUCAACUUUCUAGCUUUUAGCAUUACGUUUGGCUUAUGCUUUUGACCCUUCUUUUCCUUUGUCUUUGUCCUUUAUUUCAAUAACAAGGUAUUAAAAUUCAAGGAGAAAUACCUGAAACACUGUUAUUUCUAGGGUGUAUUAGUAGCUCUUGUCUUAUCAUGGUCUAAGGAUUUUCAACUUAUGUUCAGAAUGAUAUUCACAAAGUUUUCACUUAUAGUUUGGUGUUUAUAAAGUCACAGGAGGUAAUUAAUUGUGACUUAUUUGCAAUUGGUGAUUUUGGUGAUGUGUGGACAAGUAGAAAUAUUAUAAAUAUAUUUAAGGUACAUUAUGAUAAAUAUGAUGCUUGGUAGGUUACAUAUAUUAAGUACAUUUUUGACUUAUGCUUGAUACAUAAUGGAUUUAGUGCAUGCAUGUGCAUAUAUGGUUUCUGCCUCUUUAUCUCUUGAUUGGUUUUGUCGAUCAUCUGUAGCUAGCAUCUCAACGGCAUGUGUCUUUUUAAAGACCUCUCCACACUAUCCAUUCUGUUCUGAAGACAUUAGCUUCUCUCAAGAUGACAAGAGCAUAUAUUCAUAAGCAUAUACUUCUAGUCAAGUGUUUACUAUUUCUUAAGUAUCUUUGCUUUCCAUACAGGAGUUUUGUUUUAGUUGUAAGAACGUCUGGUGGUAUCUGUCUUUCUAAUUGCUUAAAGGAAAACGUGUUUGCAUCUCGUCACAGUUAAGGCUGCAAUCUAUCAUAGCAGUGAAGUCAUGGAAACAGGAGCUUGAAGCAGCUGGUCCCUUCUCCUUCUACUGUGUUGCCUUGUCCAACUUUGAUGUCCAACCAGUGUGACUGUCUGCAUUAACUUCAAUCCCCAACAUGAAGAAACAUCUCUGAUGAAGUCUGACUUACUUCAUUAAUCUGUGAGUGUAGGGCUGCAAAUCGAGAGGUGAGUUUGACUGUGUGUCUGUCCAUUUAGCAAAAUAACAGUAGUAGGUUCCCCUCCCUAAAAUGAGUCCUUGGCUAGAAUUCCACUAUAAAGCACACAUUUAAUCCCACAGAGCAGACCUUAUAUCUAAUCAGAAAGUUUUUGGUUACUUCCAUGACUUGCAUGUGACUACUCCGGUCACGAGCGUGUGAGGCAUACUGGGUAUUAUUGCUUUUUACAAAUUCACAGCUGAAUAAAAUAGUCACUUUUUUUCCUCAUUAGCCUACAGGGCAUCUUCCAGUAAUAUAAAACCUGAAACAGGAAAAGAACAAACUCUUUGGUCAGCACAAGCUUUUCCAAACACUAGGACAAGUCUGUCGUUUCUUAAGCAACAACAUCUUACCAUUUGAGAGUUGACAAUUGUUUGGAUUCCUUUGGAAGUCUCUAGGAAAUGCUUGAACAAUUAAUUAUUCCUGCUCAUUAUUCUCCUUUAUGCUUCAUAUCACCUCCGUGAACAAUACUUUUAGAACAUCCUUACCAUCCCUCAAAUUUUCCAAUGAUAUUUUUAUAUAUCACAAAUAUAAAACUAAGGAUAUAAUGGUAAGAUCCAUACAUGAGUGCAAAAAAACAACAUGUGUUUCUUGGUGUGAGUUACAUCGCUUGGUGUAAUGCUUUUCAUUUCUACCAACUUUUCUGCAUUGUUUAUAGAUAAAUAAAUUUUCACAUAAUGGUAAACCCAAAAAAUUAUGGUUUGACCCAGUCAUUCAUUGAUGGGCAUCUAUAUCCCUUUCAAGUUGUAGAUAUUAUGUAUAUAUCAGAAGUAAACAUGAAAGAAGUGUUUUCUUGGUAGAAAAUAGUCUUCUGGAUAUAUGUCCAGCAGUAGUAUAGUUGGGCUGUGGAAAAGUUCUAUUUUCUCAUUUUGUGAGGAUCACCCAUGAUUUCCAUAGUCUUUGCACCCAUCUAUAUUUCCACUAGAAGUGCAUUGUUCCUACACCAACGAUAGCCAGCAUUUAUUGUCUAUUGGCUUCUUAAUCUUAGCCAUACAUAGUAAAGAAAGAUAAAACAUUGAGGUGGUUUUAAUUUUCAUUUUCCUACUGUAUAGAGAUUAGGAAAAGGUUUUAAAAUGUUUCACAGCCAUUUUUAUUCUAAGAACUCUAUAUUCAGUUCCAUAGCUUACUUUUCCAUUUGAUAAGUAUAUGAGCACAUGCAGGUCUUGUGUUUUUUUGUUAGAUUCCCCCCCCCAAAUUAGAGGGGUUUAAUUUCUCUCAUAGUUCCUCUAAUACUAUCUCUCCUCAAUUUCAUUUUUUUUGUCUCUGUUCAAAGACACUGAGGCAACCAAGUGAUUCCAGUAUGUGUGUGGCUAUCUGCUUGAGCAUGAGUAACAUCUCAGGGGCUACGUCUUUGAGAAGAACUUUAUUCUUCCUCUCACAGAAGUCCUCAAUUUGCAAGAGCUUCUCAAAUAGUUAUAGGAUUCAGUAGCCAUCAAAUUUAGCAGUUCUCAAACAUGUUGUUUGUGACCCUCUUAGGGAUAGGACAUGCUGCAUAUCAGAUUUUUAUAUUACGAUUCUUAAUGACAGUCAAAUUAGAGUUGUAAAUCUGCCAGAACACGAAGAACUAGAGUGAAGAAUUAGGUUGAGAAUCACUGAUGUAAGUCUACAGCACUGGAAUUUAACUUGGCUUCAUCUUGUGUGGGUUUUGCACACAGUCACUAUUGCUGUGAUUUUAUAACUGCCUGCUUUCGUGUGCCUUGAAAACACUGUUUCUCUGUAGUGUUAUCCUACCUUUAGCUCUCAUUAUCUCUCUAACAUCCAGAUGUUGAUUGCUGUGCAAUUGAUUUCUCUGCAUGCUGAGGCAUAAAGUACCAAGUUUAAUUAUUUCUACUUGUAGAUAGCUAGUUUCCAUAAUGGCAUUUAUUAAAUAUUAAAUAGACUGUCUUGUCUACAAUGUAUGCUUUUUGGCCUCUUUUUCCAAAAUCAAAUCCUGUAAAGGAUUACCUUAAUUGCAUUCGUUGGUAAAGAAGCAAAUGCCUAGUGUGUUGGGCAACACUCUGCAUUGUAGAGCCCUGCACCAGACCAGAAGGAGAAAGCAUUGCCAUGAGCGCAGUAAUGCAGCAAGCCAGUGACGAAACAAUGCAGUAAUAAUAUAGCAGGGGAUGCAGUAAUUUCCUGUGUUGUAUGCAGAUGUUGUGUGACUACUUCUCCUGAGUUAGUGUUGCUAUCAAUUCAAUUCUCUGCCAUGAAAGACACAUGAACUCCUGUCUCUUGAGUUAUUUUGCCACGGUAUUUUACAUAGUAACAGAAAAGAAAUGGUAACAUGUGGGAGUCACACGUUACUGUGAAGAUUUGGCCAAGUUCAUGAACCAUACCACACACAACCAGACCCACAAAUGACACAGAAAUGGCAUCAUGAAACCCUGGUCACAAAGAUACAAAUCUCUUAAGGGGGUUGACACCGAGUUUCUGAGGAACAUCAGCUUUGCCAAGAAACACAACAAGAGAGGCCUGAAGAAGAUGCAGGCCAACAAUGCUAAGGCAAUGAGUGCACGAGCAGAGGUCAUCAAGGCCCUUGUGAAGCCUCAGGCCAUCAAACACAGGAUGAGAGAGGGCCCCAGCUGCAAAUUCAUACAUCUGGCUUUUAUCGCUCACCCCAAGCUUGGGAAGAGGAUUGGACGCUUCAUGGCCAACGGUCAUAGGCUCUGCCAACAAAAGCCCAAGGUUUAAACCAAGGCAGAGGCCAAAGCUCCAGCUGAGGCCCAGGGUUCAGUUCCAGCUCAGUCUCCCAAAGGUGGCCAGGCCCCUAUGAAAGCCCCAUAGAAAAGGUUCCUGCCACUGUGAAGACAAAUGGACUGCUGUGACACACCUAUAUACACAGUAUUUGAAGAUGACCAGUGUCAUAGGCUGUUUUUACAAAUAAACUUGAGACAACAUCUACUUUAAAAAAAGAAAUGAUAACAUGAUUCUUCUUUUAUAAUUUAAGGAAAAAACCAUCACUAUUUUUGUCUCACUGUAACAGUCAACUUUGACAAAAAUGUUAACUUUAGUGUUUGUUAGCAUAAAAGUUAUUAGCUAACAGCUCCUAAUUAUAUUUCAGAGUGAGGCUAAGUCCAAAAGUUAGUCCUUGUAUUCAUUUUCAUGAUAACAAAGUAAUUUUAUUACUUGGACUCUUCAUAUUCAAUUCCUUGAAAUUGCUUCCAAAUGCUAUGUAAUGGUUUCAUUUUAUCUAAAAGUUUGUAUAACAAGUUGGAAAGAUACAGAUUGAAGAAGUUCAAUGUUUGUAAAGAUUUAUUAUAAAAUGGAUACAUAACUUUGAAUUAAAAUGUCUUUAAUAAAAUUAAAAUUUUUCUGAAUGGUGGUCUGCAACUUAGCAAUCAGGAGAAGUACAAUAGUGUUUGUUCUUAUUCUAUGUCAAGAAAUUUGUUCUCUGGAUUUUCAUAGGAAAUUGAAGCUUUGAAAGGUUGACUCUGUUCUUGAAGUUUAUCUGGAACUCAUCUGUGAGCUUCAUGGUGUACACAGAUAAGAAACUGACAAUACAUUUCAACAGGCUUAAUUUUAAAUUGAGGACUUUAAAAGAAAGAGUAUAAUUAAACUAUUUAAUUCCACUUAUUUCAGAGAAAAUUCAAGUUAUAUUCUUCUCCUGAAAGGGUUUCAUUUAGCACAGGAGAGAAGUAUAUAUAUAUAUUAUAUGUCUUCUGAUGCCAAGCUGGUUCAGUGCUUCAUGUGUGCAAACCAUCAUCUGAGUUACAGACUCUGUGGACGUCUUUGUUAUUAGAAUAGAGCACUUAGACAUUGAAGUCUAUUUUAGCCAUCGAGGUGUCUCCCAAGCUUCUUCCCCUUCAUCUUGUUGUCACUUUAAUCCCAUGAAUGGGUAUGGAACACAAAGCAGAUCUAUCUACUGUCCCAUUUAAAAUAUCUGUAUGGUUAGGUUCUCAUAUAAACUCACUCCAAGUUGCUUAAUCUUCAAAUGUCUGAACAUAUACGUUCAAAUGCACAUGCAUUUACCUAAAUAAGUAUGUGUAGAUUUAUUUUUUAAAAAAAAUAAAGCCUUGUCUAAUAAGGAAAUAUAGAACUGUAACUCCUAAUACACACUCACUGUAUUAUUUUAAUGCCAUGCAAAUGAAAGAAUCCUGAAAACUAAUUUUAAAGAGCUAUUUACUUAUUGUUUUUAUGUAGCUGUG
rnacentral:sRNA from 1 species